GGGGAUUAGUGGCGAACGGGUGAGUAACACGUGAGUAACCUGCCCUUGACUCUGGGAUAAGCCUGGGAAACUGGGUCUAAUACCGGAUAUGACCUUCCAUCGCAUGGUGGUUGGUGGAAAGCUUUUGUGGUUUUGGAUGGACUCGCGGCCUAUCAGCUUGUUGGUGGGGUAAUGGCCUACCAAGGCGACGACGGGUAGCCGGCCUGAGAGGGUGACCGGCCACACUGGGACUGAGACACGGCCCAGACUCCUACGGGAGGCAGCAGUGGGGAAUAUUGCACAAUGGGCGCAAGCCUGAUGCAGCGACGCCGCGUGAGGGAUGACGGCCUUCGGGUUGUAAACCUCUUUCAGUAGGGAAGAAGCGAAAGUGACGGUACCUGCAGAAGAAGCGCCGGCUAACUACGUGCCAGCAGCCGCGGUAAUACGUAGGGCGCAAGCGUUAUCCGGAAUUAUUGGGCGUAAAGAGCUCGUAGGCGGUUUGUCGCGUCUGCCGUGAAAGUCCGGGGCUCAACUCCGGAUCUGCGGUGGGUACGGGCAGACUAGAGUGAUGUAGGGGAGACUGGAAUUCCUGGUGUAGCGGUGAAAUGCGCAGAUAUCAGGAGGAACACCGAUGGCGAAGGCAGGUCUCUGGGCAUUAACUGACGCUGAGGAGCGAAAGCAUGGGGAGCGAACAGGAUUAGAUACCCUGGUAGUCCAUGCCGUAAACGUUGGGCACUAGGUGU
rnacentral:rRNA from 1 species